UACGUAGGUGGCAAGCGUUAUCCGGAAUUACUGGGCGUAAAGGGUGCGUAGGUGGUUUCUUAAGUCAGAGGUGAAAGGCUACGGCUCAACAGUAGUAAGCCUUUGAAACUGAGAAACUUGAGUGCAGGAGAGGAGAGUAGAAUUCCUAGUGUAGCGGUGAAAUGCGUAGAUAUUAGAAGGAAUACCAGUUGCGAAGGCGGCUCUCUGGACUGUAACUGACACUGAGGCACGAAAGCGUGGGGAGCAAACAGGAUUAGAUACCCGUGUAGUCCCU
rnacentral:rRNA from 1 species